GUCCAGCCUUGUUGGUGGCUGCUGCAGUUCUUUGGCUCACUCACUCUGUUCUUCGUGCCUCAGUUUCCCUUUGCAUAAUGAGAUACGGUGGCAGAGAAGAACGCCAGUGCCACAUCCAUGACUGAUAGCUUGAGGACGGAGAUGAACUGGAGGGUAGAAAAAGAGGAUGCCUGAGAAAUUUAUACCUACCAGGUCACAUCUUCGAAUCCCAGGAAGUUAUCCCUGGAUUCAUUUCUGCCUUUGAUGCAAGUCUGUGGUUCUUUUCAGUACACUUUGUGUGAUAUUGAUUUGGUCUCACGUGUGAAACAUGGCUACAGAUUGGCUGGGAAGUAUUGUGUCCAUCAAUUGUGGAGAUAGCUUGGGUGUCUAUCAGGGAAGAGUGUCAGCUGUGGAUCAGGUCAGCCAGACCAUUUCUCUCACCCGGCCUUUCCAUAAUGGAGUGAAGUGUCUUGUUCCAGAAGUCACCUUCAG
rnacentral:lncRNA from 1 species